AGGCUUUGAUCCUGGCUCAGGAUGAACGCUGGCGGCGUGCUUAACACAUGCAAGUCGAACGAACCUUCGGGUUAGUGGCGGACGGGUGAGUAACGCGUGAGAAUCUGCCCUCAGGAGGGGGAUAACGGCUGGAAACGGCCGCUAAUACCCCAUAUGCCGAGAGGUGAAACGAAUUUCGCCUGAGGAUGAGCUCGCGUCUGAUUAGCUAGUUGGUGGGGUAAAGGCCUACCAAGGCGACGAUCAGUAGCUGGUCUGAGAGGAUGAUCAGCCACACUGGGACUGAGACACGGCCCAGACUCCUACGGGAGGCAGCAGUGGGGAAUUUUCCGCAAUGGGCGAAAGCCUGACGGAGCAACGCCGCGUGAGGGAUGAAGGCCUCUGGGCUGUAAACCUCUUUUCUCAAGGAAGAAGAUCUGACGGUACUUGAGUGAAUAAGCCACGGCGUAUAUCCGUGCU
rnacentral:rRNA from 1 species